rnacentral:rRNA from 1 species
GUGGGGAAUCUUGCGCAAUGGGCGAAAGCCUGACGCAGCCAUGCCGCGUGAAUGAUGAAGGUCUUAGGAUUGUAAAAUUCUUUCACCGGGGACGAUAAUGACGGUACCCGGAGAAGAAGCCCCGGCUAACUUCGUGCCAGCAGCCGCGGUAAUACGAAGGGGGCUAGCGUUGCUCGGAAUUACUGGGCGUCAAGGGCGCGUAGGCGGACAGUUUAGUCAGAGGUGAAAGCCCAGGGCUCAACCUUGGAAUUGCCUUUGAUACUGGCUGUCUUGAGUACGGGAGAGGUGAGUGGAACUCCGAGUGUAGAGGUGAAAUUCGUAGAUAUUCGGAAGAACACCAGUGGCGAAGGCGACUCACUGGCCCGUUACUGACGCUGAGGCGCGAAAGCGUGGGGAGCAAACAGGAUUAGAUACCCCUGUAGUCC